CCUACGGGAGGCAGCAGUGAGGAAUAUUGGUCAAUGGCCGAGAGGCUGAACCAGCCAAGUCGCGUGAGGGAAGAAUGUCCUAUGGAUUGUAAACCUCUUUUGUCAGGGAGCAAAGUCACCCACGUGUGGGUGUUGGAGAGUACCUGAAGAAAAAGCAUCGGCUAACUCCGUGCCAGCAGCCGCGGUAAUACGGAGGAUGCGAGCGUUAUCCGGAUUUAUUGGGUUUAAAGGGUGCGUAGGCGGAUCGUUAAGUCAGUGGUCAAAUUGAGGGGCUCAACCCCUUCCCGCCAUUGAAACUGGCGUUCUUGAGUGGAAGAGAAGUAUGCGGAAUGCGUGGUGUAGCGGUGAAAUGCAUAGAUAUCACGCAGAACCCCGAUUGCGAAGGCAGCAUGCCGGCUUCCGACUGACGCUGAAGCACGAAAGCGUGGGGAUCGAACAGGAUUAGAUACCCCUGUAGUC
rnacentral:rRNA from 1 species